CUUUCGGUAAAGAGCGGCGGACGGGUGAGUAACGCGUGGGUAACCUGCCCUGUACACACGGAUAACAUACCGAAAGGUAUGCUAAUACGAGAUAAAAUACUUUUAUCGCAUGGUAGAAGUAUCAAAGCUUUUGCGGUACAGGAUGGACCCGCGUCUGAUUAGCUAGUUGGUAAGGUAACGGCUUACCAAGGCGACGAUCAGUAGCCGACCUGAGAGGGUGAUCGGCCACAUUGGAACUGAGACACGGUCCAAACUCCUACGGGAGGCAGCAG
rnacentral:rRNA from 1 species